UACGUAGGGACCAAGCGUUGUUCGGAUUUACUGGGCGUAAAGGGCGCGUAGGCGGCGUGACAAGUCACUUGUGAAAUCUCCGGGCUUAACUCGGAACGGUCAAGUGAUACUGUCGUGCUAGAGUACAGAAGGGGCAACUGGAAUUCUCGGUGUAGCGGUGAAAUGCGUAGAUAUCGAGAGGAACACCUGCGGCGAAGGCGGGUUGCUGGGCUGAUACUGACGCUGGAGGCGCGAAAGCCAGGGGAGCGAACGGG
rnacentral:rRNA from 1 species